rnacentral:rRNA from 1 species
UACGUAGGUGGCAAGCGUUGUCCGGAUUUACUGGGCGUAAAGAGCGCGCAGGCGGUCGUUCAAGUCGCGUGUGAAAGCCCCCCGGCUCAACUGGGGAGGGUCACGCGAUACUGAUCGACUCGAAGGCAGGAGAGGGUAGUGGAAUUCCCGGUGUAGUGGUGAAAUGCGUAGAUAGUCGGGAGGAACACCAGUGGCGAAGGCGACUUCCUGGCCUGUUCUUGACGCUGAGGCGCGAAAGCUAGGGGAGCAAACGGG